rnacentral:tRNA from 1 species
AUCUUUCUAGUAUUAAGUUAAUACAAAUGACUUCCAAUCAUUUAAUCUUGGUUAAACCCCAGGGAAAGAUA